UACGUAGGGUGCAAGCGUUGUCCGGAUUUAUUGGGCGUAAAGAGCGUGUAGGCGGUCAGGUAGGUCCGUUGUGAAAACUCGAGGCUCAACCUCGAGACGCCGAUGGAAACCAUCUGACUAGAGUCCGGAAGAGGAGAGUGGAAUUCCUGGUGUAGCGGUGAAAUGCGCAGAUAUCAGGAAGAACACCCGUGGCGAAGGCGGCUCUCUGGGACGGUACUGACGCUGAGACGCGAAAGCGUGGGGAGCGAACAGG
rnacentral:rRNA from 1 species